AUGAGAUCAAUCUUGUAACAGCCCGAUCCCCCGGAGUCCGACCGGGGUUAUCGAAGGGGCGUUAUGGACACGUGUCUACUCAUCUAGACAACCCUACGUGUCCCGUUACUGGUCCCGAGAGACGAGCGCAUAACCUUCUUUGAAAUACCGUCAUACCCACAUCCAUAUACUUCUACUUACAGUCCUGCGCACAGGAAAAAUGGAAAUGGAGGGGUGAGCAACAAGUUACUCAGUGAAGUGGUUCUAGACCAGCCUGCCCGCAUGACACUCUAUACUACUCCAUGCGGGAACUAGGACUGACUAGCCACUACAAUCAGUUAAUGCAUUUUCAUCAUUUCCUAAUGUUAUCUGCAGUUUCCACAAUCACUUCCAUUCAUUUCUAACAACCUAGCGAUCAAUCAAUACAAUGAUCUCACUCAUUGCCACACACGUCAAACCCUAGACUUAACCGACUCCUCUUGUCCGUCCGACCCGACCCUAUGACACCUUUAACUCCCCGUUACCCGACCAUGAGCUAAAACCCUACAAUGCACAUCCUUUUCAACUUUUCAUCUUUUCCUCUUUUCCUCUUUUCCUCUUUUCCUCAGUGGGUAGCCCCCCACUAGGCUUCUACCCCAUAUUCAUGUGGAUUCGCCACAUCUCCUAUGGGUGCUUCCAUAUUCAUGUGGAUUCGCCACAUCUCCUAUGGAUACCUAGCGUGGACUACUUACCCCACCUACAAACCUUAGACUCUCUAUAUGCUUUCCCACCCAUGCUUAACCUUAACAUCCUUCUUUCAUACUUUUACUUAUCAUUUCACUUCCUUAUCGUUUUCACUUAAUCCUCCCCAUUCCCAAUUACUUUCCCUUUUCAUUCAUACUUGAACUUGGACUAAAUCACUAGACGCCACCCGUUAUCGGUGUCACACACAAUACACAUCGCAUUCAAGUUCUACUUCAAUAACGUUUAUAAUCAUUGCUCAUCUAUCAUCCUAGCAUUUGUUCCUCUCUAGCAUCCUAACUUCAAUCACAACAACACAUGGGACAACACAACCAAACAUACAAGUAUCAACUACCAAUCAAUCAUUACCACGACAAUUCAAUUCAGUUCAUCAAGUCCCAUUUAUCAGUAUGAGGGUUCUUAUGCAUCAUGAUUCAUUCAUCUAUCAUCCUAGCAAUACCAUGUCCUAUCAACCUAACUCCCAAUCAGGGUCUAAUCAAGCCUAACUCCAACAUAAAGGAGUAUACAGAACCAUGAAAGAAGGUUGGGUUCGAAACACUCCACCUUAGUCUUAGAUCUGGAUCUGGAUCUGGAAACGAGGAUUUGAGAAGGUUGAGAUCUGGUCAGCACCACCACUUCACGGCGCCGGCGAGAGGGAGAGAGAGAGAGCGUGCGACGGCGAGGAGAGAGAGAGAGCGACGCGCGGGAGAGAGAGAGAGCGACGCGCGGGAGAGAGAGAGGAGAGAGAGACGGCGCAGGAGAGAAGGAGAGAGAGCUCGACGGCUAGGGUUUUCGACCUCCGGGAAUUCUCUGCAGAGCUUCGCUUCAGAUUUGUGAUGAGGCAAAAAGGGAGACUGCAUCUCUUUUUAUAGUAAAGGGAAGGGGAAGCCCUAGGGUUUUGCUAAAUGGGCCGUAGAGAAGCCCAUAUUCUUUGGGAAAUUUUUAUGGGCCAGGAACCGGGCCGUUACAAUCCUCCCCCGUUAAUCGGAAUUCGUCCCCGAAUUCCAAAGCCCACAUCUUUCAGACCACUCGUUCGUUACCAAAAUGGAUUCACACAUUCACACAACAAUCAAGGGAGGCAUACAUGACACGAUAACUCUACUGGGAUCUUUAAAACCAACGAAGGAAUGUCAUAAAUAAUAAAAGGAGUAGGACUACAAUAGUUUGUAAAAGAAAACCCAGCACAUCUGCACAAUACAGAAUGUCGUAAAUAAGGGAAGGAACACCAACUCCUCAGCUGGCUUCGGUUGACACAUCUUGGCCGUAUCCAAGAACUCCUCCAGGUAAUCUCUCACCUUGCGUGGCUUCUGAACCAUCUGGACCAGUACGUCACAAUCACAUGUUACUGCAGGUGGUUUUCGCGGACGCCCCCGCUUUCCCUUAGCGGGUGUCCCUACCGGCACCUCAUGGCCAUCGACGUCCCCACCCGGGUUUCCUCCUUCCAUGCUCGAGAGAGCGGCCUCAUCGGCUGCAAUCUUCUCUUCUGCCUCCAUGGCGAAACCUGCCAUCCGCCUCACUAACGCGAACUCCAAGGGCUCCAAAACACCCCUCAGCUGCGCCUGGAGCUCCUGGCGUAGCCCGUUCUUAUACCAUAUGCACCACGUCUCUGCAUUCUUCGGUUUGCACAGCUUGGCUUGGUUGAUGAAGUCCUCCGUGUAUCCAGCGACUGAUCGGUCCUCCUGAGCAUUCUUGCUCAGCACUCCACACUGGCACUUCCCGGUGAACGCCCUUGGGGUUCCCCCUGCUGCACUUGGCGUCUUGCAGGGACGGCCACGCUUCCUCGGGGGUCCCUCUUCGGUUGCAAGCUGGAACCUCGCAUUGCCCUGCAGUAGGCGUGUCUCCAUAGCCAUCCUCUGGAAAUGAGGCAUCAACACCUUAUGCCUCACAGUCUGCUCGUGCGGGUACCUGAAUGGGAACUCCCUGUACUGUUCUUCAGGAUCCGGAAACAUGGGUAGCACCAAGUUACCCUCCCUGUCAUAGUGACGCCUUUGGGCAUACUCCCUGGUGUUCCUCCGUCCGUAGUGCAUACGCGGCAUCCUCCACUCGUAAUGGUCAAGCGAAAACAUCCUGCAAUAAAAUUUCAAUCAGAACCAUAAUAGAAGUAUGGAUAUAGUGGGAUUUUCAAUUAAUCUUUCACAAUCCGAAAAUACUUAGUAAUAUUGCAAUUUUUUUUUUUUUUUUUUUUGAAGACGAAAUAUAUUGAAAUAUAUAUAUAUUAAUUUUUUUUUUUUUUUUUUUUUUUUUUUUUUAAAACGUCGGAAAUGCCGAUCCCUUAGGACGGAACUAAGGGAUCUUAACCCGCUCUGAUACCAAUUGUAACAGCCCGAUCCCCCGGAGUCCGACCGGGGUUAUCGAAGGGGCGUUAUGGACACGUGUCUACUCAUCUAGACAACCCUACGUGUCCCGUUACUGGUCCCGAGAGACGAGCGCAUAACCUUCUUUGAAAUACCGUCAUACCCACAUCCAUAUACUUCUACUUACAGUCCUGCGCACAGGAAAAAUGGAAAUGGAGGGGUGAGCAACAAGUUACUCAGUGAAGUGGUUCUAGACCAGCCUGCCCGCAUGACACUCUAUACUACUCCAUGCGGGAACUAGGACUGACUAGCCACUACAAUCAGUUAAUGCAUUUUCAUCAUUUCCUAAUGUUAUCUGCAGUUUCCACAAUCACUUCCAUUCAUUUCUAACAACCUAGCGAUCAAUCAAUACAAUGAUCUCACUCAUUGCCACACACGUCAAACCCUAGACUUAACCGACUCCUCUUGUCCGUCCGACCCGACCCUAUGACACCUUUAACUCCCCGUUACCCGACCAUGAGCUAAAACCCUACAAUGCACAUCCUUUUCAACUUUUCAUCUUUUCCUCUUUUCCUCUUUUCCUCUUUUCCUCAGUGGGUAGCCCCCCACUAGGCUUCUACCCCAUAUUCAUGUGGAUUCGCCACAUCUCCUAUGGGUGCUUCCAUAUUCAUGUGGAUUCGCCACAUCUCCUAUGGAUACCUAGCGUGGACUACUUACCCCACCUACAAACCUUAGACUCUCUAUAUGCUUUCCCACCCAUGCUUAACCUUAACAUCCUUCUUUCAUACUUUUACUUAUCAUUUCACUUCCUUAUCGUUUUCACUUAAUCCUCCCCAUUCCCAAUUACUUUCCCUUUUCAUUCAU
rnacentral:lncRNA from 1 species